UGGGGAAUAUUGCACAAUGGGCGCAAGCCUGAUGCAGCCAUGCCGCGUGUAUGAAGAAGGCCUUCGGGUUGUAAAGUACUUUCAGCGGGGAGGAAGGGAGUAAAGUUAAUACCUUUGCUCACUGACGUUACCCGCAGAAGAAGCACCGGCUAACUCCGUGCCAGCAGCCGCGGUAAUACGGAGGGUGCAAGCGUUAAUCGGAAUUACUGGGCGUAAAGCGCACGCAGGCGGUCUGUCAAGUCGGAUGUGAAAUCCCCGGGCUCAAACUGGGAACUGCAUUCGAAACUGGCAGGCUAGAGUCUUGUAGAGGGGGGUAGAAUCCGAGGUGUAGCGGUGAAAGGCGUAGAGAUCUGGAGGAAUACCGGUAGCGAAGGCGGCCCCCUGGACAAAGACUGACGAUCAGGUGCGAAAGCGUGGGGAGCAAACAGG
rnacentral:rRNA from 1 species